UACGAAGGGGGCUAGCGUUGCUCGGAAUCACUGGGCGUAAAGCGCACGUAGGCGGAUUGCUAAGUCAGGGGUGAAAUCCUGGAGCUCAACUCCAGAACUGCCUUUGAUACUGGCGACCUUGAGUCCGGGAGAGGUGAGUGGAACUGCGAGUGUAGAGGUGAAAUUCGUAGAUAUUCGCAAGAACACCAGUGGCGAAGGCGGCUCACUGGUCCGGUACUGACGCUGAGGUGCGAAAGCGUGGGGAGCAAACAGG
rnacentral:rRNA from 1 species